rnacentral:rRNA from 1 species
AGUGAACGCUGGCGGCAGGCCUAACACAUGCAAGUCGAACGGCAGCACAGUAAGUUCUUGCUCUUACGGGUGGCGAGUGGCGGAAGGGAGACGUAGACAUCGGAACCUACUUUUUCGUGGGGGAUAACGUAGGGAGACUUAUGCUAAUACCGCAUAAGAGCUAAGGGUGAAAGCAGGGGAGCUUCGGACCUAGCGCGUUUGAAUGAGGCGAUGUCGGAUUAGCUAGUUGGCGGGGUAAAGGCCCACCAAGGCGACGAUCCGUAGCUGGUCUGAGAGGAUGAUCAGCCACACUGGAACUGAGACACGGCCCAGACUCCUACGGGAGGCAGCAGUGGGGAAUUUUGGACAAUGGGCGCAAGCCUGAUCCAGCAAUGCCGCGUGGGUGAAGAAGGCCUUCGGGUUGUAAAGCCCUUUUGUCGGGAAAGAAAAGCUUCAGGUUAAUACCCCGCUGUGAUGACGGUACCCGAAGAAUAAGCACCGGCUAACUACGUG